rnacentral:antisense_RNA from 1 species
ACUGAAGAGCCAAGAAGAAUCUGAACAGACAGGACUUGCUGGGUUUAGAUCAUUCCCUUUUUGUCCAAUCACAUUUCAACAUGGUUGUCCAUGCUUCAGUCAUGCCUGUCCAAGAAGUCUUCAUAAAAGGCCCAAGAGGACAGGGUUCAGGGAGUUUUGGAGACCUGAACACAUGGAGGCUGACAGGAAGGUGGGAAGAUCACCUGAGCCUGGAGAGGUGGAGGCUGCUGUCAGUCAAGAUCAUGCCACUGCUCUCCAGCCUGGAUGACAGAAAAACCCUGUCUCAAAAAAAAAAAAAAAGUACUUAAACACUAAAGAAAAUUGGAAAAGAGACAACAGCCCACAAAGCUGCUUAAAUUGGAAAGCAAAUGGGAAAAUGAUGACGAAAUUAGCAGACGGGAGAAAGCUUAGUCCUAAAAGGGAAGUGAGGAAAGCUGAUAAGCAACCUCAUCUAAGCUGCGGAAAGACCCAAAGACAAGGAACUGGCGGCACCAUGUGCCUUUGGACAUGGGGACGUGAGAGUAAAACAUGGACGCUGGUUGAAAAUCUGUUGAAAACGCAGUGGAACUUCAGGAAUUUCUUCCCC